GUAGGUGGCAAGCGUUGUCCGGAAUUAUUGGGCGUAAAGCGCGCGCAGGCGGUCCUUUAAGUCUGAUGUGAAAGCCCACGGCUCAACCGUGGAGGGUCAUUGGAAACUGGGGGACUUGAGUACAGAAGAGGAAAGCGGAAUUCCCAGUGUAGCGGUGAAAUGCGUAGAGAUUUGGAGGAACACCAGUGGCGAAGGCGGCUUUCUGGUCUGUAACUGACGCUGAGGCGCGAAAGCGUGGGGAGCAAACAGGGAUUAGAUACCCUGGUAGUCCACGCCGUAAACGAUGAGUGCUAAGUGUUAGGGGGUUUCCCGCCCCUUAGUGCUGCAGCUAACGCAUUAAGCACUCCGCCUGGGGAGUACGGCCGCAAGGCUG
rnacentral:rRNA from 1 species